rnacentral:rRNA from 1 species
UACGUAGGGACCAAGCGUUGUUCGGAUUUACUGGGCGUAAAGGGCGCGUAGGCGGUCCGACAAGUCGGGGGUGAAAUCCUGCAGCUCAACUGCAGAAGUGCCUUCGAUACUGUCGGUCUGGAGGGAGAUAGGGGUGUGCGGAACUUCCAGUGGAGCGGUGAAAUGCGUUGAUAUUGGAAGGAACGCCGGAGGCGAAAGCGGCGCACUGGAUCUCUUCUGACGCUGAGGCGCGAAAGCUAGGGGAGCAAACGGG